rnacentral:rRNA from 1 species
ACGGGUUUGAGUAGCAAUACUCAAAUCAGUGGCGCACGGGUGCGUAACGCGUAUGCAACCUACCUUAAACUGGGGGAUAGCCUUCCGAAAGGGAGAUUAAUACCGCAUAAUACUAUUUGAUGGCAUCUGAAGAUAGUUAAAGAUUUAUUGGUUUAAGAUGGGCAUGCGUGCCAUCAGCUAGUUGGUAGUGUAACGGACUACCAAGGCUACGAUGGCUAGGGGUUCUGAGAGGAUGAUCCCCCACACUGGCACUGAGAUACGGGCCAGACUCCUACGGGAGGCAGCAGUAGGGAAUAUUGGGCAAUGGACGAAAGUCUGACCCAGCCAUGCCGCGUGCAGGAAGAAGGCCUUCUGGGUUGUAAACUGCUUUUAUCUGGGAAGAAAACACCUAUGCGUAGGGAACUGACGGUACCAGAUGAAUAAGCACCGGCUAACUCCGUGCCAGCAGCCGCGGUAAUACGGA